rnacentral:rRNA from 1 species
GCCUAGCCAAAUACACAAUUAAAUUACCAAUUGUCCGCCAAACAACUACGAGUCACACUUAAAACUUAAAAGACUUGACGGUACUUCAUCACGACCUAGAGGAGCCUGUCUGAUAACCGACAAUCCACGAUUAACCCAACCCUUUCUCGCCCAACAGUCUAUAUACCGCCGUCGCCAGCUUACCUUGUAAAAGAAAUGAAGUGAGCCAAACAGUACUGCACUAAAACGACAGGUCGAGGUGUAACCCAUGAAAGGGAUUAAGAUGGGCUACAUUCUCCUACCGAGGAUACGAAUAGCACUAUGAAACUAGUGCCUGAAGGCGGAUUUAGCAGUAAGAUAGGAAUAAAACACCUAACUGAAUACAACGCAAUGAAGUGCGUACACACCGCCCGUCAUCCCUGCCACACAACAUUAAAUCUUAAUAAACCAACAAAAAAGCCAAACAGGGCAAGUCGUAACAUGGUAAGUGUACUGGAAAGUGUACUUAGAAACAA